UUACUUCUUGUGUUCAAGUUUAGCACCAAAGUCCUUUUCCGCAGAACUCUUCUAUCCAGUUGAUUACCAGACUAGACUGAUGCUCUGGAUUAUUCAGUCCCUGGUAUAGGACUUUGAGUUUAAUUUUGCAGUACAUGAUCUGUUAGCUAAUUUUGCCAGCAUGUUGAGGUCCAAGUGAAUAGCAGCAUAUCAACCACUUCCUCCAGUUUGUCAUCAUCCACAAAUUGCUGAGGUCUCAUUCCACUCCAUUAAUCAGGAUGUUUAUAGAAACAUCAAACAGUAUCAGCCUAGCAUCAGUCCCUGAAGAACACCACUACUAACUUGUCACCACUUAGACUUUGUGCUGUUGGUCACCACCAUUUCAGUCUGGUGUCCAAUAAAUUUUCACCAAUCUUACAGUUCAUCUAUCCAGUCCAUAUUUCACCAAUUUGCUCUAAAGAUACUACGCCAACUGAUUUGAAAGCCUUUCUAAGAUCAAGGUAUACAACAUUCAACAUACAGCAGAUCUUGAGGUACAGGGGGGUUUCGGGAGGUUCCUUUGCCAGGGGAACCCCCUGAGAGUGGUGCAACCCGGCAGCGCCCGGCAGCUCUUGUGUGUGGGCGUUGCCAGGGUAACAACAAUCACAGCCCCGCCCCCAGCCCUGAAACAGCCUCAGGGAGGGCAGGGACACGUCGCUGCCCACCAGGCGCUGGGAGGUGAGACCAGCGUGUGAAGCUGAUGGUGUUAGCACACACGGCCACAUUGUGGUAUGUCUGCUGACUGGCCCCUGCAACACCCUACCAUUCUCCACGGAAAUCACUCUACGAAUAUUGGAUCUAUGGCUGUCCCCUUAAGCUGAUAAGAAAUGCACAUUUGAUGGAGAACAAAGGGGCAAAAAACCUAUCUGGAAUUGAUCUGUGGGCACUUCAGGAGAGAGAGAGAGAGAAAGAAGAAUACAAGGUUUCUAUUAAAUAUGAACAGAGGACAAAACCAACAAUAAGCUCCAGUGAAGUCCGAGAUCACUGUUCAGUCGCAGUACUAGAAUACAUGCACUGUGCUAUGUGAUGCAUGUGCAUUAGUGCUGAACAUCACAUGUACCACUGAUAGCAGGAGAGAGACCCAAACAAUAGCUGAAGAUUUGGGGUCAACAAAAGUGACAUGGUCAAAGAUAUCAAUCUAGAAACCUUAACAAUUCGACAUAUUUUUAAAAGCUAAGGUCACGUUAAAUGGAAAUGAAGUGUCAACAAUGCAUACUUUAGUCAUAACAACAUUACUACUAUUUUCCCAUAUUUCACUUUGAUAUAGCUGUCAUUAAUGCCUGUUGUCAUUAAAUGAAGGGUCAUAAUGAAAGAUGUUUAUGGAAAUAGCUUCAGGUCUGUUUCCCUAAUAAUAUAGGAACACUUAGAAUUUAUUGCAAAUCCGCAGCAAUUUUUUUCAAAGCCAGAUGAGAAUGGAUACAUAGUUCAAUUAUCAUAACAUUACUGGAAAACAUUUCACUUCAUAUUUAACUAUGGGAUCAUUGCCUUUCAAAUGGGCAUGUUUUAUACAAGAUAUGCAUAUUGUAUUUUAUACAGUAUGUGUUCAGGUUUGCUUCUAGUGAGCAAAGAGGCUUUGAUGUUCACACUAUUUCACUAGGAGCAAAGUGUGGUUUGUAUUUCCAGUCCCAGCUUAGUGUGCAGAUAGAAUAUUUGUGUUGACACUGUAUCAUACAUUAGCAGGUACUCGAAGG